GAAGUCCUGGCGCAGGCCGCCGACCAGCUCCCACCAGGGGCUGAUGGCGUGGCCCCACAAGGCCUGCAGUUCGGCUUUGUGGGUCUUGCCC
rnacentral:tRNA from 1 species